rnacentral:misc_RNA from 1 species
GAUGAAGAACGCAGCGAAAUGCGAUAAGUAAUGUGAAUUGCAGAAUUCAGUGAACCAUCGAAUCUUUGAACGCACAUUGCGCCCGCCAGUAUUCUGGCGGGCAUGCCUGUUCGAGCGUCAUUUCAACCCUCAAGCCCUGCUUGGUGUUGGGGAUCGGCGUUGCCUCCUCCGUCGUUCGCGGCGGGGUGAGGUCGCCGCCCCCGAAAUGAAUUGGCGGUCUCGUCGCAGCUUUCCUUUGCGUAGUAACAUACCACCUCGCAACCAGGAGCGCGGCGCGGCCACUGCCGUAAAACGCCCAACUUUUUCAAGAGUUGACCUCGAAUCAGGUAGGAAUACCCGCUGAACUUAAGCAUAUCAAUAAGCGGAGGA